rnacentral:rRNA from 2 species
UCAUCUUCGGGGGUAGAGCACUGUUUCGGCUAGGGGGUCAUCCCGACUUACCAACCCGAUGCAAACUGCGAAUACCGAAGAAUGUUAUCACGGGAGACACACGGCGGGUGCUAACGUCCGUCGUGAAGAGGGAAACAACCCAGACCGCCAGCUAAGGUCCCAAAGUCAUGGUUAAGUGGGAAACGAUGUGGGAAGGCACAGACAGCCAGGAUGUUGGCUUAGAAGCAGCCAUCAUUUAAAGAAAGCGUAAUAGCUCACUGGUCGAGUCGGCCUGCGCGGAAGAUGUAACGGGGCUAAACCAUGCACCGAAGCUGCGGCAGCGACACUAUGUGUUGUUGGGUAGGGGAGCGUUCUGUAAGCCGUUGAAGGUGUAUCGUGAGGUAUGCUGGAGGUAUCAGAAGUGCGAAUGCUGACAUAAGUAACGAUAAUGCGGGUGAAAAACCCGCACGCCGGAAGACCAAGGGUUCCUGUCCAACGUUAAUCGGGGCAGGGUGAGUCGACCCCUAAGGCGAGGCCGAAAGGCGUAGUCGAUGGGAAACAGGUUAAUAUUCCUGUACUUGGUGUUACUGCGAAGGGGGGACGGAGAAGGCUAUGUUAGCCGGGCGACGGUUGUCCCGGUUUAAGCAUGUAGGCGGAGGUUCCAGGUAAAUCCGGUACCUUUUUAACGCUGAGGUGUGAUGACGAGGCACUACGGUGCUGAAGUAACAAAUGCCCUGCUUCCAGGAAAAGCCUCUAAGCAUCAGGUAACACGAAAUCGUACCCCAAACCGACACAGGUGGUCAGGUAGAGAAUACCAAGGCGCUUGAGAGAACUCGGGUGAAGGAACUAGGCAAAAUGGUGCCGUAACUUCGGGAGAAGGCACGCUGAUAUGUAGGUGAAGUGAUUUACUCAUGGAGCUGAAAUCAGUCGAAGAUACCAGCUGGCUGCAACUGUUUAUUAAAAACACAGCACUGUGCAAACACGAAAGUGGACGUAUACGGUGUGACGCCUGCCCGGUGCCGGAAGGUUAAUUGAUGGGGUUAUCCGUAAGGAGAAGCUCUUGAUCGAAGCCCCGGUAAACGGCGGCCGUAACUAUAACGGUCCUAAGGUAGCGAAAUUCCUUGUCGGGUAAGUUCCGACCUGCACGAAUGGCGUAAUGAUGGCCAGGCUGUCUCCACCCGAGACUCAGUGAAAUUGAACUCGCUGUGAAGAUGCAGUGUACCCGCGGCAAGACGGAAAGACCCCGUGAACCUUUACUAUAGCUUGACACUGAACACUGGUCCUUGAUGUGUAGGAUAGGUGGGAGGCUUUGAAGUGUGGACGCCAGUCUGCAUGGAGCCAUCCUUGAAAUACCACCCUUUAAUGGCUGGUGUUCUAACGUGGACCCGUAAUCCGGGUUGCGGACAGUGUCUGGUGGGUAGUUUGACUGGGGCGGUCUCCUCCUAAAGAGUAACGGAGGAGCACGAAGGUUAGCUAAUCCUGGUCGGACAUCAGGAGGUUAGUGCAAAGGCAUAAGCUAGCUUGACUGCGAGAGUGACGGCUCGAGCAGGUGCGAAAGCAGGUCUUAGUGAUCCGGUGGUUCUGAAUGGAAGGGCCAUCGCUCAACGGAUAAAAGGUACUCCGGGGAUAACAGGCUGAUACCGCCCAAGAGUUCAUAUCGACGGCGGUGUUUGGCACCUCGAUGUCGGCUCAUCACAUCCUGGGGCUGAAGUAGGUCCCAAGGGUAUGGCUGUUCGCCAUUUAAAGUGGUACGCGAGCUGGGUUUAGAACGUCGUGAGACAGUUCGGUCCCUAUCUGCCGUGGGCGCUGGAGAAUUGAGGGGGGCUGCUCCUAGUACGAGAGGACCGGAGUGGACGCAUCACUGGUGUUCGGGUUGUCAUGCCAAUGGCAUUGCCCGGUAGCUAAAUGCGGAAGAGAUAAGUGCUGAAAGCAUCUAAGCACGAAACUUGCCCCGAGAUGAGUUCUCCCUGAGACUUUAAGUCUCCUGAAGGAACGUUGAAGACGACGACGUUGAUAGGUCGGGUGUGUAAGCGUAGCGAUACGUUGAGCUAACCGAUACUAAUGAACCGUGAGGCUUAACCUU